AGGAGCCGUGUGAGUGUGAAAGUCUCAUGCACGGUUCUGAAUGGGAGGGAGAGAGGGCGACCUCUCUCUCGACCCCUAAU
rnacentral:ncRNA from 1 species